GGGCUCAGUCUGAAUGGAUUCAGGUCGUCACCCUGGCCCCUGGGUGAGCCUCACAUCCAGCCCCACAGGGACCCCCUCUCCUGGAUCUGUCACCAGAGCUCAAGGCUGCAGUGGGACCUACCCCGUGGAGACAGGCCCCCUCCUGCCCUCACAAGAAGGCAUCAUCUACUGCGUGGAGAAAGGCAGGGAGCUGCAUAUGAAAUCCACGGUGGUGGGUGCAGUACCCCCUCUACAGAACCCCCAGGAUGAUCCGGGAAUGGGGCCUUAGCUGCUGGCACAGAGAAGGGAAGUGGGGGUGGGGAGGGGCCAGACCCCCCACAAAACCUGAUCCCUCAGAACCACGGGCUGCCCGCCAGGUACGUCUUGAAGCCAAAGGCGGCUGAUGAGUUGGACCGCUUGGGUUCUGCUUCCCCCCAGCCCCCAGCCUGAGCACCACCUCCAGCGCCUUGCUGGGUCCCGGUGGCCCCUCCUCUCCUCUCCCUCUCUCUGUCCUCCCUCUCAUCCUGGAAUCCAAAGGUUCUAGGGCUUAGCUGUCACUUUCGAGCACAUCGCUCGAGCCCCGUGGGCCUCCAGCCUCCAUUUCCCCCUCUGUAAAAUGGGAGAAUAACCCCCACAUCUCACAGGGUGCAGUGAGGGCUAGACUGCUAGUUCCCGUGACCGCCCCGGAACAGAGCCUCAGACCAGAAGCAGCUCAGAGGACCCGCGCUGGUUCAGAAACAGAAUCCCCCACAUUCUAGGCUCUCUGCCUCUUUUUGUUUCUGUCUUGUUCCUCAUCAAAAACUCUUUGCUUUCUGCCUUUUCUUUUUUCUUCCUCCAUCAGUUUCUUGGUCUGUGUCUUUCUGUCUCUCUCCUUCCUUUCCUAUAUCAAGGCCGUCAGGUAUAGCACAGUCGUGCGGUGUGUUGACUGCACUAGGGAAUCCAUCCUCAGGUGUGGCGCGGGAGGGGAACUCCGGCCGCACUCGGCUCACCAGGCCGAGUGUCUUAGCUUGUGCCCGGGGCUGCCUUGCCCUGUGUCUCCCUUGUCUGUCUGUCUGUCUCCUUCCCCGUCUCUCUCUCUCUCUCUGUGCCGUUUCCAGAUCUGUCUUUCCAUGGAGACAGGGUCACUUAGUCCUCCCCACUCGGCAGCUAGACCCCUGUCAGAAGACUCCUCCCUCCCUCUCCACGCAGGGACGCACCCUGACCCAGCUCCGGCAGCCUGGGCCGCUCUCUCCACGUCCGCGCACGUGCACACGCCUGCACACGCGAGCGCCCAGCCCCUCCCGCACCCAACCAGGCCUUUUGCAGCCAGGAAUGUCUGCCGGAUGGAGGGACAGGAAGCCUGUGUGUGAGCCAGAGGCUGGGCGGGAAGGGGGCAGGGGUGAGGGGCCGGCCUGGUGUUCUCUGUGGCUCAGGAAACAGAAGCUAGAGGGUCCUCAGCCCGACCUGUUUACUCAUCAGGAAAUAGGGAAACUGCAGGGAUUCUGAAUCACCAAGCACGCAUCGCGUGCCUGCCGGAGGCCGGCGCCAGUGCGGUCCGGGCCCCUGCCACCACCCGUGGGUGCCGGCGGCCACGCUCUGCAGCCACAGGCGGACGUGGGGGUCUCGGGCAUCAGAGGCAACAAGGGAAUUAGGAUCUGCUUCAAAGAACAAAGCACCGGCCCACCCGCUCACUGCCACCGCCAGACACCCUCAGAAAGCACAGCCCUGCUCCGGCCACUGCCCCUCUCCAGAGCCCUCUGUGGCUCCCCACACCACACGAAAGGGCACCAGGAGCCAGGCCCGCCAGGGGCCCAUCCUCACAGCCUCUCCCAGGAUGCCCCCUCAGUGGCUGCAGGCUUCAUACACUCCUCCCGCCCUCGGGCCCUCCUGCAGGCCCUCAGCCCAGCCACCACAGACCCUCCUGGCCCAGAGGAGCCCUGGGCUGCUCUUGCCGGAGGCCAGCUCCACACGGACACGGACCAGCACUCCCCAGACCCCAGCCAAGGGCUCAGCACCGUGUCCCUCCUCCGGGGGCAUGUGGGACUAAACCAGGCCAUCCCAGGAGUUUGCAGCCCCUGGAAACCUUCAGGUCUGACGGACCCAUCAGGGAUCAGCGUUGGGGCUGCGGGUCUGUGCUCUGGCUGCCCCACCAGGCUGGGGCACCCUCAGUCUUAUUCCUCCGGGGCUGUUAGUGGUCAGGCUGCCCCGAUGUACCCUCACAGCCCCCAUGCCCCCCUCCUUCUGUUCUUAUGAAGGUCGGUCUUCCCCGCUGGAAUGGAGCUCCGUGGGGUCAGGGCGCUUUUCCGCACCUGACGGAGGGGAUGGCCCGAUAAAGCCCGAGCCCAACUUCUGACUCCAGCAAGCCCUGACCUGACUCUGUGGGGCUCGGGGGCCGAGGGAGAGGUGUUCAGAGGCUGCGGCUUCAACCCGGCUCGCCAGCCAGAAGAACUGGUCCCCCCUUCCAGGGCCCUCGAAACCCAGGAUUGGCAGGAUGCCGGAAACUGGGGUCCAGAAGGAGCCUCCACCCUUACAGAGGGGAAGGCGGCUCCGGACCUGCCCUCCUGACCGCCGGCCUCUGAGUUCCUAAGGGACGAGUGCACAGUCGUGCGGGGCACUGAGUCGCCUGGAGAGCAGGGGGUGUGCCCACACGGCUGGACCCUAACCUUGUACCAAGGGCCUCGGGAUCCCGGGACAAUGCCCCUCACUGUCCAUCCGCACACCCCCUCUGAAACAGAGGGACUGGGCGCCCCCCAUGCCUUAUGUGGGGGUAGGGCAGAGGUGGGAGAGGGGACCCAGGAGGCCCCAUGUCCCAGAGCUCCCUACACGCCAUUUCUCUCUGGAGACCUCCACCUGCACGCGUGGGGGCUGUAACAGCCAUCACCAGCCCAGAUUAAAUGUGCGCUUUGGGCAA